rnacentral:rRNA from 1 species
AUUGCCCCAGUAACGGCGAGUGAAGCGGCAACAGCUCAAAUUUGAAAUCUGGCCCCCCGGGGCCCGAGUUGUAAUUUGUAGAGGAUGCUUUUGGCGAGGCGCCUUCCGAGUUCCCUGGAACGGGACGCCACAGAGGGUGAGAGCCCCGUCUGGUUGGAUGCCGAGCCUCUGUAAAGCUCCUUCGACGAGUCGAGUAGUUUGGGAAUGCUGCUCUAAAUGGGAGGUAUAUGUCUUCUAAAGCUAAAUAUUGGCCAGAGACCGAUAGCGCACAAGUAGAGUGAUCGAAAGAUGAAAAGCACUUUGAAAAGAGGGUUAAAUAGUACGUGAAAUUGUUGAAAGGGAAGCGCUCAUGACCAGACUUGGGCCCGGUGAAUCAUCCAGCGUUCUCGCUGGUGCACUUUGCCGGGCACAGGCCAGCAUCAGUUUGCCCCGGGGGACAAAGGCUCUGGGAAUGUGGCUCCUCCGGGAGUGUUAUAGCCCUCUGCGCAAUGCCCUGGGGCGGACUGAGGUUCGCGCAUCUGCAAGGAUGCUGGCGUAAUGGUCAUCAGCGACCCGUCUUGAAACACGGACCAAGGAGUCGUCCUCGUAUGCGAGUGUUCGGGUGUGAAACCCCUACGCGUAAUGAAAGUGAACGCAGGUGAGAGCUUCGGCGCAUCAUCGACCGAUCCUGAUGUUCUCGGAUGGAUUUGAGUAGGAGCAUACGGGGCCGGACCCGAAAGAAGGUGAACUAUGCCUGUAUAGGGUGAAGCCAGAGGAAACUCUGGUGGAGGCUCGCAGCGGUUCUGACGUGCAAAUCGAUCGUCAAAUAUGGGCAUGGGGGCGAAAGACUAAUCGAACCUUCUAGUAGCUGGUUUCCGCCGAAGU